UACACUACAGAAACCCCCCUUUUCUAUUCUACAAUGGAUGGAAAGACAAGUAUGGGUUUCGAAACUGGGACCUUUUGCGUGUGAGGCAAACGUGAUGACCACUACACUACAGAAACCCCCCUUUUCUAUUCUACAAUGGAUGGAAAGACAAGUAUGGGUAAGGAUUAAUGAAAAAUUCAGACAAGGAAUACCAAUGUGGAGUUUCUGCACAUUGCACUGGACCUGACUAAGCCCAUUUGAAUGUGUAGAGGAUUGACUGGUACUGUUGUAAGCUAGCCAGUUAUCUGUUGGUGAAAAUAAAACACAUAUCCCACAAUUGGGAGAAUACAUAUUUUCUCUAUUGUAUCCAGCCUCUAGUGUGUGGAUUUCUUUACAUGGGUUAGUUACGGUUGAUUCAAGACAAAGUUAUUGUCAAUUAUUUGCAUGUUUGCCAUUUCACCACAUACUACACUGAAAUACUAAAUGGCCUAAAACAUGAAAAUCUAUUUUGGUUGACAUGUUUUUUUCAAGAGUCAGUUUUGCUGACCGUGAUGGCUGGUGGCUAAUGGCAAAAAUAAAAAGGUUUGAAAAAAUUGUGGUUUUUGAGCACACACCUAGGGUGGAUGCUUACAACAGGUAUUCAACACCAAGGCUGUUUCUGCCAGGUUUCGAACCUGGGACCUUUUGCGUGUUAGGCAAACGUGAUGACCACUACACUACAGAAACCCCCCUUUUCUAUUCUACAAUGGAUGGAAAGACAAGUAUGGGUUUCGAAACUGGGACCUUUUGCGUGUGAGGCAAACGUGAUGACCACUACACUACAGAAACCCCC